rnacentral:rRNA from 1 species
AGCCUGAACCAGCCAAGUCGCGUGAAGGAAGACAGUCCUAAGGAUUGUAAACUUCUUUUAUACGGGAAUAACGGGCGAUACGAGUAUUGCAUUGAAUGUACCGUAAGAAUAAGCAUCGGCUAACUCCGUGCCAGCAGCCGCGGUAAUACGGAGGAUGCGAGCGUUAUCCGGAUUUAUUGGGUUUAAAGGGUGCGUAGGUUGUUCGGUAAGUCAGCGGUGAAACCUGAGCGCUCAACGUUCAGCCUGCCGUUGAAACUGCCGGGCUUGAGUUCAGUGGCGGCAGGCGGAAUUCGUGGUGUAGCGGUGAAAUGCAUAGAUAUCACGAGGAACUCCGAUUGCGAAGGCAGCUUGCCAUACUGCGACUGACACUGAAGCACGAAGGCGUGGGUAUCAAACAGGAUUAGAUACCCUGGUAGUCCACGCAGUAAACGAUGAUUACUAGGAGUUUGCGAUAUACCGUCAAGCUUCCACAGCGAAAGCGUUAAGUAAUCCACCUGGGGAGUACGCCGCAACGGUGAAACUCAAAGGAAUUGACGGGGGCCGCAC